UUUUGUGUGGGCUGUAACCUCUGUUUUAUUGGCUACUGUAGAUAACGUGUGUCCCUCCCCUGCAUGGGAGCAGGGCAUAAAAGAAACUGUAGCUUUAAUACCUGUUGUUAUUACUUCCAGUAAAGUCUUGUUCCAGCAUUAAAGGGACACUGUAGUCACUAUAACCACUUUGUCUCUUUGAAUUGGUUAUAGUGCCUGGAGUGCCCUGGCACUGUCCCUCCAUUCAGUGUUGCACCAUGUUUGUGCAAUAUGCCACAAAAUAAGAGUCCCUGGCCACCCACAGUCCGGCCCCUUCAGUAUGUGUAGCUAAGGCAGAGAUUACACACUUCCUUGUUGUCAUACCCACUCAUACUGUCAGUUGGAACUCUGACAGGCUAAAAGCAGUCAGCUGACACUCUCAGCCAAUCACAGCUGCCUAUUUCUGCUCAGGAU